CACGUAGGGUGCAAGCGUUGUCCGGAAUCAUUGGGCGUAAAGAGCUCGUAGGCGGCUUAGUAAGUCGGGUGUGAAAACCCCAGGCUCAACCUGGGGACGCCACCCGAUACUGCUGUGGCUAGAGUCCAGUAGGGGAGUGUGGAAUUCCCGGUGUAGCGGUGAAAUGCGCAGAUAUCGGGAGGAACACCAGCGGCGAAGGCGGCACUCUGGGCUGGAACUGACGCUGAGGAGCGAAAGCGUGGGUAGCAAAACAGG
rnacentral:rRNA from 1 species